UACGUAGGGACCGAGCGUUGUCCGGAAUCAUUGGGCGUAAAGAGCGUGUAGGCGGCUAUUUAAGUCCUGCGUGAAAUCCUGCGGCUCAACCGCAGACGGUCGUGGGAAACUGGAUGGCUAGAGUGCGGGAGAGGAGAGUGGAAUUCCCGGUGUAGCGGUGAAAUGCGCAGAUAUCGGGAAGAACACCCGUGGCGAAGGCGGCUCUCUGGAACGCAACUGACGCUGAGGAGCGAAAGCGUGGGGAGCGAACAGG
rnacentral:rRNA from 1 species